CACAGAAACACAAGACAUUCAAAAGUUAAAGACUCAUUAUCAGGGAUGCAAAAAUGUGGCUAAAAUAAUGUUGAAUCCAUAACUUUUGCAUAUUCCAACUCUUUGUGCUUUGAACUGUUUAAUAUUAACAAUGUGUUGACAUAUUUUUUUUUCUUUUUUGUUUCAGGUCUCUGUAAAAGAAGAAAGUGAAAAUAAAAACUGUUAAACAGCUUCCAAGUUCUGAUGGCUUCCCAAGCAUAUAGUUGUAAAUUACUUGAACCAGCCAGUGUGCUCUUUAUUACCUGUCCACCCAUGAAGAGUGCAUCUAUGUUUAAGUGCACCCCUGCAGAUUUAAGGACAUUUUUCUGCUGUACAUGCAUAGUAUGCAAUUUUCAAGUGGUCGUAUCUUUGUUAAAUCAAAACCAAUUAUUUACAAACUGAGCAACCCCACUGUUCCUGUGUCAAGUUUCAAACAGGAGCUGUUUUCCAGAGCCACGUUCAAUUAUCAAUGCAUAGAAUUUUUCCUAUGAUGGGAUAGAUGUGUUUUUCCCUGUAACUCAGAAGCAACAGGAGGAAGUUUACUUACAAACUCUUUUUGGUAAGAUUCAAGCAAGAAGUGAUUUAGCCUCUAAAGAGAUAUGAUUCUGGCAUCUCUGGAAAGGUGGAAAAGGGACUUACAGCUGAAACUGUUAAGCAAUUUUAACUAUAGCCAUCACUAUCAACGAUUGUUAUUAAUGUGGCAUUGAUUGUUGUGUGAUAUAUUAUGGGAUUUUCCAUAUAACAUAAAGUAUAGAGUAAAAAAAACCUCUUAAAGUUUGCCUUCAUAAAAGGGUUAAGAUGUCAGAAUAUGUAUACAAAGAGAAGAGUGGGUUUGUCUUCAGAAUCAAAAGACUGUCUCUGGGACAUGGCCUUUUACUGUAACUUUUUUGGAAAGCAUAGACAGUUUGUCUACUGGUAUUCCUCAACCCUGAACUGAAAGUCAUUAAUGAGGGUAAAAAGCAUAGCUUACUUCCAAUGCUUUGUUCAGCUUCUCAUGUCAUUGCUAAACACCACCAGUCAUAACGGUGUUACUGUAAUGCAGACAGAAGUUCAUGUAGGAAAAAAUACUAAACACACUAUUUGAUGCUCACAAAUUAUGAUGAUGCACGUAGUAUAAAAAACUAGGUAGGUAGGAGUCAGUUUCUGCAGUCUGAGUACGUUAAUGGUCAGAGGACACAAUUUUGUGUUUCUACAAACCUGGCCAUAAUUGGCAUUUGUAGUAGUUGCCAUGGUUAUUGUUGUUAUAAUUAAAACAACAACAACAACAAUAAUAGGAUGUGUGACUCCUGUCUCCAUCUGUAUCUGUUAUUGGGAUCAAUGAAAAUUGCUUCUGAUUUUUGGAAAUGUUUGACUGACAAUGGCAAAA